UCGUUUUAUCGAUUAAUAAACGAUUGUACACAGACGAUUGCAGGUGACCGAAUCGACAACCCUAACCGUGCACCAGUAACCAUAGGCGUGUUUACAGCGGAGGACGUUAGAAAACUACGCGGCCCGGUGAGACAUCGGCCAAAGUAUUCAACAGGGCACGGUUGUUUAACGCGGGACGAUAAUUCGUUAAUAAUCAAUUUUUUCGAAUUUAUACAGACGCAAAAGCGCUGGUCUCAGUCCGCGGGGAUUGCCGAAAGAAUAUCAGUGACCG